AGUGAACGCUGGCGGCAGGCCUAACACAUGCAAGUCGAGCGGCAGCGCGGGGGCAACCCUGGCGGCGAGCGGCGGACGGGUGAGGAAUUCGUCGGAAUCUGCCUUUUUGUGGGGGAUAACGUAGGGAAACUUACGCUAAUACCGCAUACGUCCUGCGGGAGAAAGUGGGGGACCGCAAGGCCUCACGCAGAAAGAUGAGCCGACGACCGAUUAGCUAGUUGGUGGGGUAAAGGCCCACCAAGGCGACGAUCGGUAGCUGGUCUGAGAGGAUGAUCAGCCACACUGGGACUGAGACACGGCCCAGACUCCUACGGGAGGCAGCAGUGGGGAAUAUUGGACAAUGGGCGCAAGCCUGAUCCAGCCAUGCCGCGUGUGUGAAGAAGGCCUUCGGGUUGUAAAGCACUUUUGUCCGGAAAGAAAUCCCUGGAGCUAAUACCUUCGGGGGAUGACGGUACCGGAAGAAUAAGCACCGGCUAACUUCGUG
rnacentral:rRNA from 1 species